rnacentral:rRNA from 1 species
AUUGAACGCUGGCGGCAGGCCUAACACAUGCAAGUCGAGCGAACCUAGCUUGCUAGGUGAGCGGCGAACGGGUGAGUAACACGUAGGAAUCUGCCCGAUAGUGGGGGACAACGUCUCGAAAGGGACGCUAAUACCGCAUACGCCCUAAGGGGGAAAGAAGGGGAUCUUCGGACCUUGCGCUAUCGGAUGAGCCUGCGUCGGAUUAGCUAGUUGGCGGGGUAAAGGCCCACCAAGGCGACGAUCCGUAGCUGGUCUGAGAGGAUGAUCAGCCACACCGGAACUGAGACACGGUCCGGACUCCUACGGGAGGCAGCAGUGGGGAAUAUUGGACAAUGGGGGCAACCCUGAUCCAGCCAUGCCGCGUGUGUGAAGAAGGCCUUCGGGUUGUAAAGCACUUUAAGCGGGGAGGAAAGUUUGCUGGCUAAUAUCCAGCGGAAUUGACGUUACCCGCAGAAUAAGCACCGGCUAACUCCGUGCCAGCCGCCGCAGUAA